CUGCGAUAACACGCAAUUAAUACAACUUUCAACAACGGAUCUCUUGGCUCUCGCAUCGAUGAAGAACGCAGCGAAAUGCGAUACGUAAUGUGAAUUGCAGAAUUCAGUGAAUCAUCGAAUCUUUGAACGCACCUUGCGCCCCUUGGCAUUCCGAGGGGCACACCCGUUUGAGUGUCGUGAAAUUAUCAAAAACCUUUCUUUCNAAAGGGUUUUGGACUUGGAGGCUUUUUGCUGGCUUUUAAGCGAGCUCCUCCCAAAUAAAUUAGUGGGGUCCGCUUUGCCGAUCCUUGACGUGAUAAGAUGUUUUCUACGUCUCGGGUUUGGCGAUGCCUCUUGGGCACCUGCUUCUAACCGUCCGAUGGACAAUGAUGGCGUCCCGGUCACCACCGUUUUAUCGGUUGGGAGGCUUGGCCCACCAAAAAAACCUUGACCUCAAAUCGGGUGAGACUACCCGCUGAACUUAAGCAUAUCAAUAAGCGGAGGAAAAGAAACUAACAAGGAUUCCCCUAGUAACUGCGAGUGAAGCGGGAAAAGCUCAAAUUUAAAAU
rnacentral:rRNA from 1 species